ensembl:lncRNA
UGGGGGGCGAGGAGAAAGGGGGGGAGCCAUGAUUGCUAACAAGCACAAAAUGGAAUUUUACAGUAUACAAAAAAACAAAAAAAAAACACACCAAUAAAACAGUCUAUAAUAUUCAUUCAAAGCCAAUACACACGGUCCAGAGGGACACGUAUCCUCGCAAUGUUUGAAUUGUUUGUUGCCACCAUUGACAAAAUGUUUAUGAAGGAAUGUGUUUUUUGUGGUUUUUGCCAUUUCUGAUUAAAAGGUUGUUUGACUUUUCCUCAGAUUUUUAUUAUUUCUUUUAUUAUUAUUAUUUUUUUUUUUGUGAAGAAACUGUGAUCAUAUUUUUUUUUUUUUUUUUUUUCCAGUUAUAGAAUCCAUAAUAUCCUGAGUAUAGAAAUGAAGAUUUGAAUGUGAGAAUGUGAGGGGAAAAGGUUAGCGUGAUUAGUUUUAGCGGAUUCAAUGGGUGAAUGUAGGACAUAGGCUGUUUCUAAUUAACGCGGGUGUUUACCUGAUUCCACUAAUAAUACAUCAGAGGGAAAGGACGAAUUAUCGGGAAUUAAGAGGGAGUCAAGAGCAGCUCGAGCACUGUGAAAGUUACAGGCCCUUCUUACUAAUCAUAGGAUAUCACAAUCAAUUAUUGCUAUAUUUCUGUUGUCGUUUUUUUUGUUUGUUUGUUUGUUUGUUGUUUUUUUUACGUGUCUUUGUACAAAUUCUUAAUACGUAUGCAAAUUUUUUUUUCUUCCUCUUUUACUUUGCCAAAGUUAUCGUUUGAAAUAUAUUUAUACAUGAGAAAGAAGGCAGCUUUAUACAACUACUUUCACUUAUACAUCUGAUCUCAUGGAACAGCAAGAUUUUAUCAAAAUGGAUUAUGAGAAAUUUACCCGUCUCGCAUCAUGUAUGUAUCACUUCGAUUUUAUACGUUGCUUUCGUUCAUGUUUGUUAUGCUAUGAUGUGCAUUUUUACAUUGUGUUAUUGUUGUUUUUUUUAAAUUUUUUUAAAAAUUUUUUUUUUUUUUUACAGUUGUUCACAUUUUUAUCCGUCCAUUGUGAUGUGGUUUCUAUAUCAGUUUCUUGUUUAGGUUAACACUCAUAUUGUUAAUCCCAUCCACAUGAGGCCAAGGGUUUUUUCUUAAUUUUUUUUUAAUUUUUUUUUUUUAUACCAUUUGUUAAUAAGUUAAUGAAAUUUUGUCGUAGCGUUUAUGUUAGAUUUUUGUAUCACGUGGCAAAAUUUGUGAAAUGUUCAAUUCUUGGACCUUAUUCACUCAGUGUAUCGUCUGAAUAUAAAUAUACGUCGGCUUUAUCCGCUUUGCUUCACUAUCUCUGAGAUUUGGUUCUACGGACGUCGUGUACAAUAUCUUUUUUAUUCUUUUUGAAUGGUUCGUGUCCAUGUUCAAAGUUUUUUUUUUUUUUCUUCUUUCUCACAUCCACCAGCAGUUGAAAUGCCUUAAGAGUGCAGAGGCUCACCUCCAGUGCGCUGCUGUUGAACCUGCCUGCCGGGUAGGUGGUCAAAAAGUGGACGGUGGUUCGGCGAGGGUUUGAUUGUAAGCGUGUUCAAAACAGCACAAAAUCCCAUCAAAAUUUGCUUCGUGAACUUCCAUUAUUUCCCCCCUAAACAAAUAGUACUCUCAGAAUGUGAUCAUGUGAUCGUCCGAACCAGUUUCUUUCCAGUAAACUCGCCAUAGAUUUUUCUAUUUAUUUAUUUAUUUUCAGAUUUUUUUUUUUUUUUUUUUUUUUACAUUUUUCCUCCCCCAAGCCACAGCAUUCGUUAUUCAUCACGGACGAAGACUUAUCGAUUGACACAGAAACCCGAUUUCAAAUUAUUUGACGCUUUUCCUCCUACAAUUUGUUACAAACUGGACAUUACAUGUGUGUGUGUGUGUGUGUGUGUGUGUGUGUGUGUGUGUGUGUGGGGUUAUAUAUAUUGCUGGGGAGGGAAAUGAUAUUAAAAAAAAUUAAAGCUACUGUAAAAACGAUCAUUUUCUAAUUAACUGUAAGAUAACUUUUCAACUUUUCACAAUAUUUAAUUAAAGUUCCUUCUUGUCUGUGGCCAUUCGUUCUGUGUUUUUCUUGACAUGCAUUUAAAAUCAUGUUAAAUUUCAGAGACCGGUACAGUACACGCCAUAUGCUACACGAAGCUCUGAUGCUAACGAGCGCUUUCAUUUUGAAUCGCUAUGGCACGUUGUUAAGCUCUGCUAUCGACAAUGUCACCCCAUACCAGUAAUGUAUAUAUAGUGAGCGUGUUAUAGCAAGAACGUUACGGUAUACGGCGAUGGAACCGAUGGUAAGUAUGUACUGUAUAUAUUUCCAGGCGUC